UUAGGACACUUCUUAAAUUAAAAUUUUCAAACGGGUAUCAUGGGGCACAAUGAUGGUAUCACCCGAUAUUCUUCCGUGGGCGGGGUCACGAGAGCAAGAGAUGGCAAAAUUCGUAUAGGACAGGUACGAAAAUCGCUUGGAGUCGGUUACCGUGACAAAUUAAUCUCUAAAUACAAUGACCAAAGUGAUUUUGAUGAACAAGUCUAGUGACCAGAGUGCAAUUUUUUUUUACUCAUAGAAAAGUUAAAAACAAGCUACCCUCAAACUCUGUCGACCUGGAGCUGCCACGUACACCCAUCGAACUCCCAUGAUCAUUCCAAGUUGUCGCCUUGCCUAGGACGACGCAGUAGAAACGGCCCCACAGACUUCGUCCCCAUCCGCACGCAGAAUACCGGAAACACCCCUCGCCGCUGAACGUGCAGCCUCCGCCCUUAUCCUCUUCCUCUGUUUUUUCCCUACUUUACCCCCACCCUUCCCGGGGGCGGCGGCGAGGCCACCCAUCACCGCAUUGCCUACUUCUUCCGCCCCGGCUUCCCCGCUCGUCUCAUCUCGGCUCCGACUCCCACGCCACGCCACGCCAUCGCCCUCGAACCUUCUCUCCGCGGAGCACGCCAGGUCGACUGCUGCUUCAGAGCUGCUCUCUGUGAAUCUGUUUGCUGGCGCAGUGGAGCACUCUGUUCAUUUUUUCCAACCAGGUUGGUUGUUGGUUCAGUUCAAGGUGAUGCCCGCCUCUGGUGCCGCUGCCUCGCAAGCUUUGUGCAGCUGGGCGUGAUUCUUGGUGAUAUUCCAUGGAAGCCGUGCACGGCAUACAGUCCCUGGCUUCAGGAGACGGCCAUCAUCACCUUUCCCGGACGCUUGGGCCGGCGCUGCUCAUCUCCGUCGGGUAUAUUGAUCUUGGCAAGUGGGUGGCGACGGUCGACGCCGGGACUCGGUUCGGGUACGACCUCGUGCUGCUGGUGCUCUUUUUCAACUUCUCCUCGGUUCUGUAUCAGUAUAUGUCCACCUGCAUCGGCAUGGUCACCGACAAGAAUCUCGCUCAGGUUUCCGGCCAGGAGUACAGUCGGUUUAUAUGUGGCGGCCUUGGUCUCCAGGCAGGAUUGUCUUUGCUUACUUCAGAACUAACCAUGAUUUCAGGCAUAGCAGUUGGAUUCAACCUUGUAUUUGAUCACGAUGAUCUCAUCACGGGUAUUAUUUUUGCAUGCGUUGUAAUCAAUCUGCUGCCAUUUCUUUUAUCCUCUCGGGACAAGAGGAUGUCUGGAACGUUAAAUGCCUGCAUAGCGGGCUUUACGAUUCUCUGUUUUGUGCUUGGCUUGUUAAUCAGUCAACCAGAGAUACCUCUCCAUGUGAAUGUGAUGUUCCCCAAGUUGAGUGGUGAAAGUGCUUACUCACUGAUGGCACUUAUGGGUGCAAACGUAAUAUCGCACAAUUUUUAUGUUCAUUCAUCAGUUGUUCAGGUUCAGAGGAGGUCUCAUGUUCUUACCCUCCGUACCCUGUUUCAUGACCACCUUUUUUCUAUAUUAUUCAUUUCUACUGGAGUUUUUCUUGUGAACUAUGUUCUGCUGAGCUCAGCAGCAUCGGAAUCUAGUCACAAUGUGAUCCACUCCUUUCACGAUGCUGUAGAUCUGAUGAACCAGAUAUUUACAAAUCCCAUGGCUCCACUCGUGUUACUAGCGGUUCUUCUCUUUUCGAGCCACAUUAUUUCGUUGACAGCUGUCAUCGCCAGUCAUGCAGUUAUGGAGAAUUUCUUUGGUGCAAACCUGUCUCUUUUUGCACAUCAUGUGCUACUCAAGGUUCUUGCCAUGAUUCCUACUAUGUAUUGUGCAAAAGUAGCAGGCUCUGAAGGGAUAUAUCAGGUACUCAUUCUGUGUCCGGUAAUCCAGGGCAUGACCCUGCCCUCCUCUACCAUUCCUGUUUUCCGUAUCGCCUCAUCAAGGUCAAUAAUGGGCAACUACAGGAUAUCUUUAUAUGUUGAGAUACUAGCCUUCCUUGCGUUUCUUCUUAUGUUGUUUACAAAAUUUUCGCGGCGGAAAUCCUGUUCGGUGACAGCAGCUGGACAAACAACCUGAAAGGGAACACUGAAAGCCCUGUCAUAAUUCACCAUACUGUACUUAUUAUAAUGUCUUGUGCAUCUAUUGCUUUUACACUUUUCCUGGCUGUGACUCCAAUAAAAUCAGCCAGCAGUGAAGCUGAAACUCAGGAGUGGCAUGUGCACUCUCCGAAGGAAGCACUGGACACUACUCAUCACAGAGUAGAUACUUAUCCGGAAUAUAUUGCACACGAAGAAAUUCAAAGGUAUUCUAUUGAUGCUGUUCCAAGGGAUUCAUUGAGAAGUCAUCAGAAAUCAGCUUUGGAGGAGCAUACUGACGGUUCUGAAACCACUGCAGAAUCCGAUAACGGGGCUCAACAUAUGGCGACCAUUCCUGAGGCUGCCCCCGGAAUGUCAAGCAACAUCGAGGAGUCAAAAUCAGUUGUUGGGGCUGACUUUACAGGUUCAACGCCAAAUGUCUCUACUGCCACCGCAGUAGGACAGAGUUCAGCAGAGAAUAACCAAAUGAAGAGCACAGCUGAGAAAGAUGUUCAAGUAGAAGCAGAUGUUUGCACAGACAAGGACAAUGAGACUUCACAUAAUGUGAGCUCCAGUAAUAAGUCCACUGGAGGCAAAGCACCCUCUUUAUCUUCCGGUGAUCCACCACCCCUUGCUAUGAGCAGAUAUAAAGACACUGAUGCUGUUAGUGGCAGUGGUGGCCUCUCAAGGCAGCCUGGUUUGGGCCGUGCUGCAAGGAGACAGUUAGCAGCAAUUCUCGAUGAGUUCUGGGGGCGUUUUUUUGAUUAUCAUGGCAAGCCGACACAAGAAGGUGAUGCUGAAAGGAUCCACCUUUUGCUUGGACUGGACUUGAUAAGAGAAGGUUCAGCUGGGAGAAUGGAUAACCAGAACACUCGAGCUUCCAAGAACCCCUUAAUGAGAGAUGCAGUGCCUGGAUCAGGCAUCUCAUGGGACCCAGUGUCCUGCAAUAGGGAAAUCUCUAAUCCAGACCUGUCUUUUGGGCUUCAGAUGGGUGCCAUCGGGUCAUCAGCCGGGUCACAGAGCAUGCAUUUACCAAAAACAAACACCCCGAGUUCAAGCAGUGCCUUUCUUGACCAAAAUGCAAAAGAAAUCACGAAUUAUGAUGGGGCACCUUACUGUGAUAACCAGUUCUGUCAGCCUGCCACCAUUCAUGGUGGGUAUCAGCUAGCAAACUAUCUAAAAGGGAUAGAUGCAAGUCGGCAUUCACGUUCCAGCAUUCCACUGGACGCACGGCGACUUCCUAUAUCUUCUGAAUCUGAUGGUUCCAACUAUGCUGGCUCUGCUAUUCGUGCUUAUAGCCCGAACGUGCUUGGUUCAUUUGGUUCUACCACUUUGCAGAACCCGACAAUGAGCGGCUUAAGUACAAUGAUGGUAGGAAGAUCCUAUUAUGAUCCUACUACCAUUCUUGGGGGUGAAAGUGGUGGCUCAUCUGCUUACCCAAAGAAGUACCACAGCUCACCCGAUGUAUCUGCUGUAAUUGCUGCAAGCAGGAAUUCAUUGUUGAACAAAGCAAAUAUGGGCAGCGCUGCUGGAAAUCAGCCAUAUCUUAGUAGGCUGGCAUGUGAAAGAUCACAUAAUGUGGGCACAGCGAACAUGUCCCAGAGCUCUGUGCAGUCGAGUAUGAACACCAAACCAGCAUCACUUUGGUCCCGGCAACCAUUCGAACAGCUCUUUGGCGUGCCGAGCGCAGAGUUGAAUAAUAGGAGCCCGGUGAACACCGAGCGGAGAUCAAAUGGCACCAAGGAUGAUUUCUCAUACAAGGAAUCUGAAGCAAAGCUUCUCCAGUCUCUCAGAUUUUGCAUCAUGAAGCUCUUAAAGCUGGAAGGGUCGAGAUGGCUUUUUAGGCAGAAUGGUGGCUGUGAUGAAAAUCUAAUUGACCAAGUUGCCGCAGCUGAGAGAGUUUCACAAGAAACUGCUGAUGGCAUGGACGCUAAUUGCACGCACGGACGGCUCGGUUGUGGUGUUGAAUGUGUUUGGCAGGCUUCCCUGGUUGUUAGCUUUGGUGUCUGGUGUAUCCGUCGGGUGCUAGACCUGUCGCUUGCGGAAAGUAGGCCAGAACUUUGGGGCAAGUAUACUUAUGUUCUCAACCGUCUUCAGGGGAUCCUUGAUCCUGCAUUUUGCAAGCCUCGGAAACCCGUCACCGGGUGCCCAUGCCUCGAGAAAGCACGUCUAGUCGGCAAGCCCAUGUCCAGUAACUUCACCGCCGCAGCUGACAUCUUGCUGUUGAUCAAAGAUGUUGAGCAAGCAGUUUCUGGCCGGAGGGGUCGAAGCGGCACGGUGGCGGGAGAUGUUGCCUUCCCUAAUGACUUGUUCGGUUGACAGGGAUUUAGAAGGGAUUUGGCAGGGAUUGAGGUGGAUAUAAUCCCCUACAAGUUAAAAUCCACCCAAAUCCCCUCCAAUCCUCUUGAGAAGAGGUGUAACCGAACAUGGCCUAAAGGGAAGGAAAACCUUGCUUCUGUGCUCAAGCGAUACAAGCGCAGGCUCUCGAGCAACAAGCCGCCUGCCGGAUCAUAGCUGUCACUCAGCCUGUUACCAAGCCUCUGUAGACUGUAGCUGCUUCUCGUAUAUUGGUUUUUUCUGCUGCACGCCGUACGCCUGGAGGCUUUUCGGUCUUGGUUCGGUAAUGGCAAUCGACUGUAAGUCUGUGACACUGGUUUUGCCCAUAUAAAUGUUCUACAAGGGCAAGGUGCGGUCACUGUAGCUGCUUCCAGCGAGAUGUACAAAAAAGCGUUGGUAUUUUGUUGAAGUGGCGCGCUGUAAAUUUGACUGUUACUCAAAUUCCUCUUGUCGCUAAAUCUUUGUAUUU